rnacentral:rRNA from 1 species
UGGGGAAUAUUGCACAAUGGGCGCAAGCCUGAUGCAGCGACGCCGCGUGAGGGAUGACGGCCUUCGGGUUGUAAACCUCUUUCAGCUCCGACGAAGCGCAAGUGACGGUAGGAGCAGAAGAAGCACCGGCCAACUACGUGCCAGCAGCCGCGGUAAUACGUAGGGUGCAUGCGUUGUCCGGAAUUACUGGGCGUAAAGAGCUCGUAGGCGGUUUGUCGCGUCGUCUGUGAAAUUCUGCAGCUUAACUGCAGGCGUGCAGGCGAUACGGGCAGACUUGAGUACUACAGGGGAGACUGGAAUUCCUGGUGUAGCGGUGAAAUGCGCAGAUAUCAGGAGGAACACCGGUGGCGAAGGCGGGUCUCUGGGUAGUAACUGACGCUGAGGAGCGAAAGCGUGGGUAGCGAACAGG